rnacentral:lncRNA from 1 species
GGGCUGGGAGAAAAUAACAUCUUGGGUCCCUGAACAUUUUCAUUUUGUUUUAAUUUAAUCAUUUAUUCAUUUUUUUGUUUUUUUUGUUUUCUUGCAAUUCUGACUUCAAAGUUUUUUUGGGGUUUCAAUUUAGUCUUUAUUUUUAGAUUCAGUCCCUUUAUUUUCUAUUAUUUAAAGUCCAGCAAGCUUAAAUUUUAUUUAUUUAUUUAUUUUCCUCUUUAAAUUGCAGAUUUUAUAAUUUUACCCUCAAAUUUCCCAAUUAUUUUCUUUUAGUCUUUUAUUUACACCUUUGCUUUUAAAUUUUGUUUAAAUUUUAAUUUGGU